rnacentral:snRNA from 1 species
AGCUUUGUGCAGUGGCAGUAUCGUAGCCAAUGAGGUUUAUCUGAGGUGUGAUUAUUGUUCAUUGAAAAAAGAACUGUAAAGAGCAUUAGUGGAAAAAUUAAGGAUAUUUAAAUAC